UAGGGAAUAUUAGAAAUGGGCGCAAGCCUGAACCAGCCAUCCCGCGUGCAGGAAGACGGCCCUAUGGGUUGUAAACUGCUUUUCCAGGGGGAGAAUUUUUCUGUCGUGACAGGAAUUGACGGUACCCUGGGAAUAAGCAUCGGCUAACUCCGUGCCAGCAGCCGCGGUAAUAUGGAGGAUGCGAGCGUUAUCCGGAUUUAUUGGGUUUAAAGGGUGCGUAGGCGGAUUGAUAAGUCAGUGGUGAAAACCUGCAGCUUAACUGUAGACUUGCCGUUGAUACUGUCAGUCUUGAGUGUGGUCAAGGUAGGCGGAAUGUGUAAUGUAGCGGUGAAAUGCUUAGAUAUUACACAGAACACCGAUUGCGAAGGCAGCUUACUGGGCCAUUACUGACGCUGAUGCACGAAAGCGUGGGGAUCGAACAG
rnacentral:rRNA from 1 species